rnacentral:rRNA from 1 species
GUUCACUAAAUCUCUGGGUGACUGCUUAUUAAUUUGAUUAGAUAGGAACUAGAACAGUUUUUUUAAAAGCUAUUAAAAUAGUAUUAGCUGACCAACGGACUGCCAGCUGUCGCGGUUAGAGUCCUAGCAUUUAAAGCUAAACCCUAAACUCUCUGACUGUGCAACUGUGAAACGUGACACAAAUUAUUAAUGAUUAGCGAAUUAUCAACCCGGAUUAGAUACCCGGUUAGCCGACCCCACAACUGGAAUACAACAGAAAGUAAUUCUUGCCAGCUCUCUAGCACAGAGGAGUCUGAAAGUUAAAUGAUAAUCCUCAUUAUAAACCUCUUUUAAAGGAUUUUAAAUCGCUGUCUCUUAAGAGAUUACUCCUAACCAGUCAAGUGAGAUAAAUCUUAUAAAGAGGAUUAGUUUGGGCUACAUACUCAGAGUAAACAGAAACGGAGGAUUUGUAAGUAUUAUUUUUUUUUAAAAUAAUAUUAAUAUUAAAGGAGAGGGGACAAAUUGCUCGGUGAUCCUGAGAGGGAUAAGCCGCAACAAGGUAAGAGUACUGGAAGGUGUUCUUUUAUUUACGGUGAACGACAAUCACGUAUGCCAAACACCCCUUCU